CGCGCCGACCCCCAGAGCUGCCCCGGGCUCCAUCCCCGCCCGCGGCGCUGCCAUGCAGCCGAGCCCCACGCGGCGGAGGAAGGAAAACAGCUCAUCUCUUGACAUGAGUGCGACAGAGGAUUCCAGUUCUUCUUGGCACCUCCAUGGCCUUCAAGUUGCUGCAUUCCUGCUUAUCUACCAGUUCAGCACUGUCUAUUUCUGGCAGACUACUUUAUCCCUUGACACAGGUCCAAAGGUGAUGGCAUCCUCAAGGUGUAACCCAGUAGUGUUGUCUAAUGCAGCUAGGUGUAUGACCAACACAAGGUUCACCAUUUCACUUGAGAAGCGUGUUCAGGAAGAGAGGAAGAGGAGGAAGUGGUGUUGAGUUUGUUGUAACUCCAGAUCAAGCCCUGAUGGCAAUGGUUUAACCAAGCUUGAAAAUGGCAACCUGACCCCUGACUACAACAGUGGAAUCCUCCUCAGUAGGCAGUAGGUUGACACAGGAGAAAGCAAGGUCAUGAAGGUCUUAGCUGCAGCCCCACUACCAGCGUGCAAGGAAGCAAUGAAACUGUGGUGAUAGUGGAGGAUAUUCCCACAGCUGAGCCAUCAGGAUCACCACUGCCACCACAGACAGUUCAGAGAAGAAAAUGCAGACAAGCCAUUUGCUACUGACUCCACCAGUCUUCUCAUUCAGCGGAGUGGUCUGAUGAGAGGAGGGGCGCAAGUUCCAAGUAGAAGACCCAGCAUGUGGCUGCAGCCUCACCCAGCCCAGUUGUUGACCGUGGACAUUGUCUCCUCAGUCCGCAUGUGAAGACGGUGACAUCAACCCCUAGAGUGUGUCAUGGUGCUACUUGGCAGAGCCCAUAUCUGCAGCCACAUCUCAUGCCAUACUAUCUAGAAAUGCCAGGAUCUAUCACCAUCCUGCAUCUGUGGCCUCCAGAUUGUCAAUUAACUCCAUCAAAAAUAUACAUAUGGUAAUUAAAGGUAGGACAUUUGUCCACAGCCAAAGGUUCCUACUUGUCUCUCGAAGAGACAUAGAAAUACAGUUUUCUCAGUGGUGUUGAAGAAACAUUACCAGACUUGGGGAAGAAGGGGACUUCGGUUGUUGGAACAUCUUUGUCACUUUCAGUAUAUGGGGAAUUUUUAAAUCUUACUCCUCAUCUUUUAUUAUUAUGUCUUACUCUUCACCUUAUCUAUUAAAAAAAAAACAACAUAUUCAACAAUUAACUGGAAAGAAACAAACACACGCACACAAAAAAAAAAAACAACAAAAGCCAACAACCAAAAACCUAACACAGAAGAAGAGACACUAGUGACUGACAUGGAAGCCAUGGCGUUGGUCUGCCAAUCAGCUCUAUUCCUGAGCUUCCUCUUCUCCAAAGAGAACUCCAAAGGAGUUCCCUGAGCCUGCCAUUGUAUGCUAUGUGUCCCAGCCCUGAACGAUUCCCUUGUGGAAGAAGGAAGAGAGUCAAGGAGGCAGAGGACCCUUUUCCUAGGGAUGACUCCUACAUGCCAUUUUGCUUGCCAGAGAGAAAGGCUGCCCAUUGGGCACAGGGGCUGCCUUUCACCUCCCGUCCUGUGCCCUGUCCUCCAGCCCCCUUUUCAUUCCAUGCUAAACACCAUUCCCGCCAUCAUGGUGGCCAUCACAGAAGCUUCCUGGUGUCACAGUAGUCACCGCUGCCCCAUCCCACUCACUCAGCUCCAAGACCUCUGGUGUUGAACAAGUAUGGCUGGUACCAAGAGAACGAGGAGCGUUGAUUGCCCAGUUUUACAUGGGAAGAAAGAGAUUGGGUUCCCAGAACCAAAGAGGUGGUGGAGGCCCACGAAGAAGAGCAAAUGGAGGAGGAAGAGCGCCUGUGCCUUUAGAGCAAUGCCCAGGCCUAUGACUACUGUUUUGCAGCCCACUGAGGUGGAUGCACUCCAGAUGAAGAAUCAGUGGAAGUGGAUCGACCUCCACCACAGCUGGCUUGGCACAUCAUCAUGCCAGGGCGCCCAUUGGUGUGGUCACAGCAGCAUCAUUGAAGGUUCAGGUGCCCAGCUCCCUAUCCACUCUGCCACCCCUGCACCCAGAAUUAGCUGGGAAGCCAUUCAUUAACAUCCAGUAGGCUUGCGUGCAGGAUAGCCUCCUUUCCUAUCCCCCAUCCUUACCCCUCGUCAAAAGAUGACAUCUAUUCUGCAUGGAUUCCCAGGGAAGCAGGCAAACAUGGACUUGGCUUCAUUUUGACUGGUUCACUGUGUCUUCAGGAGGUCCCCCUCAGAGUGCUGCUGUGGAUCAUGGAUCCUAGAGGUGGGGUGUCUCAGCCUGAAGAUGAGAAUGCUACCCAACAGGUUCGGGAAGGUGAAGCCAGACGUUCCAUGGUGGUUCACAAAGAACAGCAGCAGAUCAAUGAAAAAAGUUAGAGCUGUUCCUUUGAAGCUAAUGAAAACAUUGUCCCCAAAAGGGUGCCCAAACAGGAGAUAUGUCCAAAGAGGCUUCAGAGUCUGUCCUUGGAGGCAUCUGAACCUAACAGAACAAGACUGGAUGUUCCCAGACAUCACUGUCUCCUUUGUGUGCCUCAGUGCCAUCUUCUGGUAGAUAUCUUAUAAAGGUAAGAGCUGCUCCUUGGAAAUCUGCCUGCAGGCUCCCAUUCUGGUGCAGCUAAUGAUUCUUAUAACCAGACUAGAAAGCUCUUCUCCAAACGAGCGAACAAGAAGCCACAAAUGUGGUGGCUGGUGUUCAUGUGACCAGUGGUGUGCACAUCAUGAAUGUGGAUCCAACAGAGAACAGCGCUAGGCCCAGGCAUGUCAGUUGCCCAGAGAAAGGCGUGUGGCUAAGGUGUGCCAGUCAUCCAGAGAGUUACAAGGGGCCCAGGUAAGUCUGUCCACCAGAGGACGAGGGGGAGUCUAUGGAGGUAGAGCCAUCACAAGAUGGAGAUCUGAUGGAAUUGGAUCCACCUGUGAGAUACACGACCACCCCCAGCAUGCACUGGCUCUCUGCCACAAAAUCCGGGCAAUAGAACUGCAGGAGCACAAGGCCAGCUUGCUGUCUUCAUCAGUCUCUGCUCCCCCCGUUAACUUGGACAUGACAGACAGCAUGGACAUCCUGAAGGCUCAUGCGUCAGAUCACUCAGCAAUAAACCAU